rnacentral:sRNA from 1 species
UAAUAUUUUAAAAUUUUAUAAAUAUUGAUUCAAAUACAUCCACCAUAUAACCCAAUUCCAAAAUAAAACUCGUUCGGUAAUUUCUUUACCCGUCCCGUGAUUUUUUUUAAGUAGUAAUUUUUAAAAUUUAAGAAUUAUUUAUUAUAUAUAAAAGUUUUGCAAAUUGUAUCAUUCUCUAAUACAUUUAUAUUUUAUAGUUUAAUUUUAUAUAUAGUAACAUUAUACAUACCACAUAACAUUUUUGGUUUUAUAUAA